AUGUUUAUGUCAUGCCUUUUAUAUAGAGCAAAGAAAUAGUUUUCACAGACAGAUGUGGAGCAGAUGAAGACACACAGAGGAUCACAGUGAAAUAAGUCUAUGCAGCAGUGUGCAGAAAGUUCCGCAUGUCUGAGGCCAACUGGCUGACAAUAACUGCAUUGGAAACAGACUCAUACCAGAGGCUGCUAUCAUGCCCUGUGUGCAUGCCCCACGCAUGUACAAGGACUUCAGCCAAUCACAGAACGCAUGGCAGCAGCCCUCAGCCAAUCAGUGCUAUGUGGGGUUUUCAGGAAUGGGUGUCAUGAAGAGGGGAAUUUGUUUUUCUCUGUGAAUGUAGCAGAGAAAGAGAAGUAGGGAAACCUGCUCUUCUGAGAAGGAGUGAUGAAACAACUGUAUUCAGAGUAACUGAACUUUGUUCACACCUCUCAAUAUUAUUUCUUCAUUUGUUCUUUACCCACUGGUCCUGGUCCUGCACACCUCCAGGCUGGUACAGAUGUUGUCCUGCUGAUUUCUGAUGAAAACCACUUCAUCUCUCUGAUCCUUAAUUUGUUGUCCCUCAGGUUCUGACCCUGUACUUUCCUGAUCUGAUUUAAGAGAGAAGACAGGCCUCAUAAAGCCUGAGUGACAGUGGACAGUAUGACAGACAGGAGUUUACUUGACACUGGACAACAUGUGGUCAAACUGUAAUUACACUGUAAUUACACUGGCCUUUCAGCUGGGAGCAGAGCAGGAUUAAUGCUGGACACACUGUAUUUUGUGCCAGAGUUCAGUAGCUGUGUUUCCAAAAAAAAAACAAUUGUGCAAAAAAGAAGAAGAGGAAGAGACUGUUUCUGUUUCUGGAGUCUUUCCUUUCCAUUAUUCUCUCGUAGGUGGCUGAACCAGUCGGUUUUAUUUCUUCAUUUUCUCACAGUUUGAAAGAGAAGUUGGCAAACAACUCAUCUGUGACCUCCACCUCUUCUGCUCUGUUUGUAGUUUAUACCACCACCCUCUGAUAACACCACGCAGCCUGGUUUCACAGCCUCAAUCCAGCUGAUGGGAACUCACCUCGUUCACAUUCUCUCUCUUUCUUUUUCUGUGACUUUCUGUGAUUUCAAAAACUUCAAAUUUAGGCGACAGAUGACACAAAGAGUUUUCCUGUCAUCAGUAUGUGACAUGACAUGUUAGGCAUGUAUGAGCUCAUCAUUAUCAGUGAACAAAUGUUGAGAUACUUCCUGUUAAAAUCUGUUUCACCUCAGACAGUCAGCCUCUGUCAGAUGUGGCCGUUUAUCUAGCCAGGGUCGGUAGAGACUGUGACCAGCUGCAUUGUGGGAAGUGUAGUGUUUUGAAGUUUGAAAAGGACCAGACAUCGGGACACUUCAGCCUCUGCUGCUUCAGUUUUAACCACUCUGUCUCUUUUUAUCUGUGUGUGUGUGUGUGUGUGUGUGUGUCCAAAGUACAAUACAUUUUACUGUUGAGUCGCUGGUGUCCCCAUCAUGAAGCCUUAUCUAGACUCUAACAAAUCCAGCUAAGGACAAUGCAUGCUGGGAAGUAUGUCAGUAAGUUAAUGACGAGUGGUCGCAAAAUGAUUUGAAAACACUGACUGGAGUCCAUGUGGAGUCCAUCUGAGAUGGUUCUAAAGGCCUGAAUGAAAAUUCAGUGUGAACACUGACUUAUUUAACAGACAGAAGGGCAUCAGCAGUUUUCAGUAAACAGUAAAUGCUGUUUGGAAUGAUAAUAAGUGUCAGCCUCAGACCAGUCUCUUCACCUGGGUUAUUACUCGAUUCUUUUAGAGCGAGUGCUUCCUUAUGAAUGUUUCAUUAACUGUAAGUAUGUGUGUGUUUAUCAGAAGCACGCUUUGUAUCAUAGCUAACCUCAGGCUCAUGACCAAACUUGCUGUGUUGGCACAGUGAACUUCCUGUAGUGAAUCACAGUCUGCACUCAUGGAACAAACAGGGGAGGAUGAACAAAUCUAUGCCUGGAGGAAACCAGCUCAGUGUGUGUGUGUGUGAGCAUGCAGUCCUCGAAUGCUAACCCUCGUGAACAAUCGCUUCAGCCAAAGAGGAGGCGAGUGCUUCAUCGCCUCAGCCAAUCAGAGAGCGUGUUUGAGAACAGGGCGAGGCGUGCUGCAUGCUGGUACCAUGAGCACAAUGGUGUUACUUCCCACAUACAAACUUUAAGCAUGAGACCAUGUUGUGUCAGAUUUAUUUACAGAGCUGGGGAUGAUACCCAGAGAUGAGUCAUAAGGAAAGUACAAGAUGUAUCUGCUGUGUUAUAACAGUAUACACAAUAUAUCCACUGACCUUUGACCUAUAUAUGUACAGAACAAAACCAUGUGACAUAAAGUGGUCUAAUUCAUUAAUUCAUCUUAAUCAUAGGUCCACAACAUCACUGUAGGACUAAUAAUUUAACUCAUCACAGAUGAGGUCCUACAGCUCCGGAGCAGAAAUACCUGCAGAAAGAGUGGGAGAGGAAAGAGCACAAAACUGUGGGAAAGGAAAGAUAUCAAGUUAGUAACAUGUAUUUAUAGGAUAGGAAUAUAUAUAAAGAUAGAGAGGGAGAGGGAGAAGCUCAGUGCAUCAUGGGAAGUCCCCUGGCAGUCCAGGCCUAAAGCAGCAUAACUGAGGGUUGGUUCAGGUCUGAGCCAGCUCAGGUACAAACAGAGAUGCCCUGAAAACAGUCUGAGACUCUGAUCACUCAACAACCUCAUCCCAAAGUUUUCUGUCAUUUUCUUCUGACUUUUUUUUUUUUUUUCUUCUUCUUCUGCUGUGUCUUCAGCUAAGUCACGAGUCGUCUCCUCACAUCCUGACGAGCUAACGAGCCACCGCAGCAGUUGGGAGAGUAAAUGCAGUAAACCAGGUCAUGGUCACCAUAAGACUGUCUGUGUAACUUAGUGUUACGUUUGCUUCUGCUGAAUAAAACUCUCAGGCUGUGCUCACUGUCCUAACAUUAGGAAGCUGAAUCACAGAGAUGUUUCCUGUUGUAUCAGGCAGUUGAUUUUUCAUUGAAAUCACAGCCACUGAGCCUGAGCCUGCUGCCUCAUAUACCAACCACAUGCUAUGGCCUCAGUCUCCAGAUCUCCACCCAGCUGAACACCUAUAGGUAAUAUAGGAAUGUACGGUCUCCACCUGUGUCCUUGGACACAAAAAAAGUUAAAGAUUGCCAUAGAAAUAUUAUGCAUCAAUAUAUAUUUUUUUAUUUUUUAUGAAUGCCAUUAUGUUCUGUGAUAAUACCUACAUUUUUAUAGGGAAAAAGCACAAAAACAGAAAGAGUUUCAAUAUACUGAAAGCAAAGUUGAUUUUUAAUGCAUAGCCAAAAUACAUAGCCAGGCCAAAAUUUUACAACCAUUUUCAUCAACACAGCCAAAGUCGCUGAAAGCCACUGGCACAUUGUUCAGAUCCUAGUACAACACAUUCCUCCACUGAGGUCAAAAUGUCAAAAAAAAAUGCCCUCUCUCACCAUGUUAAGAAUCUUGGAUCUGCCCCUUUAACAGGAUCUACACCAAACUUGAAUGACUCCCAUCCCCCCAGAUCAGUUCAGUACCUGUGUGUCGUCCUGCUCACAAACAGACACAGGUGAAAACAGAAAAGGGUGUUACUGAUCCCUCAAACAAAGAAACGGAAAGAAAUCACCUACUUAUUCACCCAAUUAACACACUCCUCUAACUCAUUGUGUGUGUGUGUGUGUGGUGUGUGUGUGUGUGGAUGGGUGGGUGUACACACAUGGCCACUAAACUAGAAUGUUGUUUUGUACUGAUGGAGUUGUGGAUCAGAGGUGAUGGAAAACUGGAGACUGAGGUUUAAAGGAUCAGUUUCUCCUCCCUGUUAGUCUUUCUUGGAAAGCAGAUGGACAGUGGACAGCUGUGCAGUACUUUCCAUGCACAUGUCAAACACACACUGAGUGGUUUUUCCAUUUGUUGACGCUUGCCACUGUAUUGUACACAGCCCUCACCAUGUGUCUUCUGUAGAGUGACAACUUCAAAUGGAAACAUGACAGUUUGCUGCUAAUGAACAUUCAGAAUUGAGGCAUUCUUGUGACGUCACACUGCUGCUGAAAUGGUCAUAAACUGCAACAUACUGACAAUUUAAUGUCCUUAGAACAUUAUGAAUAUCCAGUACUAACUUUCGUAAUGAAGUGUCCCCCCCCAGCCCGGCCUACAGCGGUGGAGAUACGUGCCCAGCGCAGCAGCCCCCGUCAUUGAGCGCCUCACUGAUAAACACUUUCCUUAUCUGUUGCUCUCAGCAGUUACUUGAUGUCAGCAGCCCAGAGCAAAGAGCUGACUUUUCUAAAGGGAAAAAUAAUCAUGCUCAGGCCUCUGGCUGCACACCCCACAGCAGGAACACUGGCUGGAUUUUCAGCCACAAACAGGAUUUCCCUGUUUCUGCUGUUGUGGAGGACACCUCCUCUGACUGGUAUUUUCAGAUACACAUAUUUCAUAAAAACUAAACUAGUUGCAUGUAGCAAUCCUUGAUUGGGUGUGUGGCUAGCUCCAUCCCCUCGGUGGAGUAUUAAAGGUGUCCGUUGUCUCUGUGACAUCAGUGAGGCUCCAAGACAUCCAGAAACAUUUUCAUGUUACCUGCCACCUCACACAGCGACGCACGCUCGUGGUGUACCAUGAACAUCCAUUUCACACAGGUCUGACCAGACACUGGGGAGUGAUCUCUGCAGUAUAUUCCAUCUUUUUUAGUCAGUGCCUGCUGACAAAUAGCUCUGAAAACCAGGCAGUGAAAGGGAGCCAUGUAAACAUAUACUGAUCAAACAGUCAGCCUGUCCAUGGCAGCUGGUUUCAACAGUGCUCUAGUCUGUUCUCCAUUAGACGGAUGGAUGCUUUUCCUCCAGUGUCUCAUUACUAACUGUUUAACUGUUGUAAAAGCCAAAAUAAUCCGUCAGCUUUCAAGGAAGUCAGUGUGUUGGAGGGUGGUGGUGAAGCCCUGAAUGUUCUCUUCACAUCUCCAACAAAGGGCAGCUGCUGCUCAUCUCCAUUUAUGUAACGGCACCUGGCAGCUCACCAAUCACAUCCUCCAGCUCCUCCUAGAGAAUCCAGUGCAUCCCCGUGGCCUGAUGGGACGUCUGAUCCCUCCCGCAGGCUCUGGAUCUCGUCUCAGCUGAACGUCUGUGGACACUGGUCCUCAUCAUUUAAUGAGGACAAGAGGACACGUCACAGCAGGAGAUCAUGCUUCAACGUCUUGUGUUUCCAGGUCUGUAUGCCGGUGAAUAUUCAGCACUCAGUAGUCUUCCUGUGUGAUAAAGUGAGAGGUCAUACUGUACCAGAAUAUUAUACAGGCCGUGACUCGCUUCUGUGGAAGACAGCUUUACUGUGGCGGCCUAUGUGUUUAAGCCUGUAUGGAGGUCAAAAGGCUGAUUAAGGCCAUGAUAUAACCAUGAUUCCUACAGUGAUGAUGCUCUCUACAGGGUCCCAGUGGUCCUGAAGACUGCUGGUCUCUUCCACACACCUCGCUGACCCACAACCUGAUGGCUGAGUUAAAAAGGAGGAGCAGAAACACUGGAUAUUUUUCAACAUUUCUUUAAUAAAAAAAAACUAACCCAUAGGGUUUCAUACAAAAAUACUUUGAAGUAUCAAGGAUGCAUUGCAAACAUACUUUCUCACAAAUCAGUCUUUAACAGUGAUUUUCUUUAUGCCCUGAAAGAACAGAAGUUGUGAAAUCACCACAGUGGAGAUCUCACAGUGAAAUAUCGUCUAGGACAA